CAUUUUUUUUUUCGACCCUUAUGAAACGCAUCGAAAUAAGUACAGUAAUGUUGCUCACUUUGGACAAGGGAGGGAAGGAGGGAGUCUUUGCAGCUCAAAACUGGAAUAGCGUAUCUGACUGACAUCUCAGAAAAACAUCCCUCCAUUACAUUCUAGGAGUCUAGCAAGCAUCCUACCCCCUUGGGGAUCGAUUGCCAUACAAGAUCUCCAAAGUCAUUGCCCUCUAUAUCAAAUUACUGUAUACGAUCGCAAGCAAAGAGAAAGAGCCCUCUGUCGUGAACGAGAAGGCGGAGAGUUACUCUUCCAACCCUCGGGCUGGACUAAUCAUCGUUUUGGUACAUGCACUACAGUACAGAGGGUGGAGAAAAUGUUGCGGAGAACUUUGACGGAGAGGGGGAAAGGGUGCAUUCCGCAGCUUUGAAUCGAUAAUCGAUGGACUCAGAUCCGUCUUUAAGAAUAACAAUAGCACAUCUUGUCAUUGGUAAUCUGGAAAUCCCAGGUUUGAGGGAUGGGCCACCCUCGGGUCGAUACCGAUCAAUAACUAGGGAAACCAACACUGAACCCUGAGCGUUUUCACUCCUGAUGAUUAUCUAAGAUAAACUGCGGGGUUUUCAUUACGUUCCGAGGAUGUUAAGACUACAAAGAUCCUGAUUGUUUCUCACCCGAUAU